rnacentral:misc_RNA from 1 species
CGACCAUCGAGCACCGCUCGGUAUUGGGCGUCGCCUCAGGGCGCGCCCUAAAGGCAGUGGCGACGCCGUCCGGCCUCCAGCGUAGUAAAAAACAUCGCUUCGGGACCGUCCGGCCGUCCGCCAUGAGACACCAAUCUUUCACACA